CUCAGCAAAUUGACGCGAAUCCCCGAUGGACGGAGCCCGGUCUCCUCGCGGCGGGACGAGGGAAAGCGGCCUCCUCGGCGCUUUGACCGAAACUCUUCGGAGGCUUCAAGCUGUCAGGGGCCGCAGGGGUCAUCAUCACGACGGGGCGGCGGGAGGGAGGGGACGCGUGGGAGGACAGGGGCAGGUGGGCGGCAACGAAGGGACGCUCAGUCCCGCGGAAGGCGAGGAGGACGUUGAGGAAAGAGAGUGCCAGCGGAGGGUUCUGGGAGCGUUGAGGGAGCUGAGUGUUUUGCACGCAGACCGAGUGGCGGCGUGGAGAGGAGUCCUCAGAGAAGGUGCCCACAGGUCCUCAGCGGGGGGGCGUGAUCACCAACGUCCGCCCACAACAGCCGAGGGCGCCGUGGCACCUCGUUCACGCUCCUUCGGUGACACUUUCCUCAGCGUCGAGAAGAACGUAGACAACAUUGUGGACACGAUGAACGCAACCGUAGCCCGGCUGGACGAAGAAAUCCUCAGGUCACGUGCAGCGGAGGCCUCGACUGUGGACGCGGCGGCGGCGGCGCUCCACCAGGCCGGCGCUCCGAACGUACCGGAGCAGCCCGAAGACAACGGCGGAUCGUCGGACUCUGAGCGCGGACGCGGCGGCGGGGGCGCGGAUGCGGCGCCGCGAGAGGUCGCUGUCAGCGGGAGGUCGGCCUGCGGCGACGCGGAGGAGCCGGCGAGAGAUGGACCGGUCAAAGGUCAAGGGGAAGGAAAGGAGGACUGUGUUUCUCUCCAGGGGGAGACAGAUUUACCGGAGGAGGAGAGGGAAAAGGACACGAGUAGGGAAAACAAGGAAUGGAUCAAAGUCGGGUAAGAAACAUUUGAAUUGUACUUAUUACCUUUUUACACGCGUGUGCAUGCAUGCAAGCGGCUCAUCACAAAGUGCACAUGUCAAAUGUCAGGUCAAGGCCCAGAUUGGUCCAAAAGCCAAAGGAUAAUCGGGCAAAUUCGAAGAGUCUGGGAGAAGCCGAUCUCGAAAUGUGGUCACUCUCACUUUUUUGGGAAUGAUAAUAUUUCCCUUAAUGAAUUCCAGGAUGAAUAUGAAAAUAUCAU
ensembl:lncRNA